GAUGAACGCUGGCGGCGUGCUUAACACAUGCAAGUCGAACGAUGAAGCCCAGCUUGCUGGGUGGUUUCGUGGCGAACGGGUGAGUAACACGUGAGUAACCUGCCCUUAACUCUGGGAUAAGCCUGGGAAACUGGGUCUAAUACCGGAUAGGAGCGUCCACCGCAUGGUGGGUGUUGGAAAGAUUUAUCGGUUUUGGAUGGACUCGCGGCCUAUCAGCUUGUUGGUGAGGUAAUGGCUCACCAAGGCGACGACGGGUAGCCGGCCUGUGAGGGUGACCGGCGACACUGGGACUGAGACACGGCCCAGACUCCUACGGGAGGCAGCAGUGGGGAAUAUUGCACAAUGGGCGCAAGCCUGAUGCAGCGACGCCGCGUGAGGGAUGACGGCCUUCGGGUUGUAAACCUCUUUCAGUAGGGAAGAAGCGAAAGUGACGGUACCUGCAGAAGAAGCACCGGCUAACUACGUG
rnacentral:rRNA from 1 species